GCCUGGUGUGGUGGCACAUGCCUUUAGUCCCAGCUACUCGGGAGGCUGAGUUGGGAGGAUAGCUUGAGCCCAGGAGUUCUAGACUGUAAUGUGCUGUGUCGAUCAAGUGUCCACACUAAGUUUGGCAUCAAUAUGGUGACCUCCCAGGAGCAGGGGGCCACCAGGUUGCCUAAGGAAGGUGAACCAGCCCAGGUCAGAGCAGGUCAACACUACCAUGCUGAUCAAUCAUGGUAUUGCUCCUGUGAAUAGCUACUGCACUCCAGCCUAGGCAACAUAGAGAGACCCUGUCUCU
rnacentral:SRP_RNA from 1 species